GAAUCACGUCUGCCCUGCUCUCACUUCACGUCAUAGUUUCUCACAGCCAAGUUUUUUCACUCAUUGCUUCACCCCUCCCGUCACAGAAAACACAAUCAAGCUCAUUCCACUCACCUGCAGUCACCAGUAUUUAAGCUCCACUCCUCCACAGCAUCAGUGCCAGAUUUAUGAACGGUUCACCCCUAGUAAUUAUCCAGCGUUUCCAUGUCACGUCUUGUUUGCCUCGUCACGACCCUCCUUCUGUUCCUCGGACCCAAGCCUUUCGCCUGGCCCCCGUCUGAUACCGUCGCUGCCUCUGACUUCCUGGUUCUGACCCACGCUCUGACUCCUGGAUCUUCGCCUUUCGCCUCAUCCUCCUCGGACACCGUCGCUGCCUCUGACCUCCUGGAUCCGACCCACGUCCGUGUACCCCGACCACGCCUCAGUCCUUACCUCCUAACUUGUUUUUGUCUUCAGCCUUCCCGUUAAUGACCACCGCUCGUAUUAAGGAUUAUCCCCGACGUCGCGCCGCCAAACACGGAAGUACGGCGAACCAUCAUCCAAGGCUCUCUGUAUCACUCAGGAGUUCGGUCUGUUCCACACGCUCCAGUAAAAGAACUCCUGAUUCCCGUGUCCUGUAACUCCAGAACCAGCAUUCACUAUUUCAAUAAACUUGUUAAAACUG